rnacentral:lncRNA from 1 species
GGAGUCAUCCACACGAGCCCACGAAUCUCGAUCAAAAGUCCUGCUCCAGGAAAUUAGCACAGUAUGCUAGUAUUGCGCUGAUCCUUUUUCGAUGGUUGAUCAGGUACCUUCUUCUUCUUAAUUUGAACUCUUCCAAAGAUGAGAAGUAGGAGGAGGAGUUUCAAAUCUGAGACGCUCUCAGAAAACUCAAGAUGGAGGAAGGGAAGAGAUGAACAC